GAUGAACGCUAGCGGCAGGCUUAACACAUGCAAGUCGAGGGGUAUAGUAGCAAUACUAGAGACCGGCGCACGGGUGCGUAACGCGUAUGCAAUCUACCUUUUACAGAGGGAUAGCCCAGAGAAAUUUGGAUUAAUACCUCAUAGCAUUGCGAAAUGGCAUCAUUUUGCAAUUAAAGUCACAACGGUAAAAGAUGAGCAUGCGUCCCAUUAGCUAGUUGGUAAGGUAACGGCUUACCAAGGCAACGAUGGGUAGGGGUCCUGAGAGGGAGAUCCCCCACACUGGUACUGAGACACGGACCAGACUCCUACGGGAGGCAGCAGUGAGGAAUAUUGGACAAUGGGCGCAAGCCUGAUCCAGCCAUGCCGCGUGCAGGAUGACGGUCCUAUGGAUUGUAAACUGCUUUUGUACGAGAAGAAACACUCCGACGUGUCGGAGCUUGACGGUAUCGUAAGAAUAAGGAUCGGCUAACUCCGUGCCAGCAG
rnacentral:rRNA from 1 species